UGUGGUAAUAGUUUUCCUAACUGACAUCCUCCUNNNNNNNNNNAAUAAAAUCUUUUUUUUUUAAAGUUUUAUUUAUUUAUGAUAGUCACACAGAGAGAGAGGAUGGGAGAGAGAGAGAGAGAGGCAGAGACAUAGGCAGAGGGAGAAGCAGGCUCCAUGCACCGGGAGCCCGACGUGGGAUUCGAUCCCAGGUUUCCAGGAUCGCGCCCUGGGCCAAAGGCAGGCGCUAAACCGCUGCGCCACCCAGGGAUCCCCAAUAAAUAAAAUCUUAAAAAAAAAAAAAAAAAGCCAGGAAAAAGCUCCUUUCUUUUCUACGUUUUGUGAAUAUAUUCUGUUUUGAAAGCAAUGAGCUUGAUAUGGCUGGGAUGGGAGGAGAAGAAAAGUAGGAAGGGGAAUAUAUUAGUGUUCCAGAGUCAUUAUGGCAACAAACUGGAAUGCAAACUGCUAGGUUUUCCAUAUUUCUUCCCAAAUGUCUUCGGCAGAGAUCUGACCACACAGAGAUUAGAGAGCUUGAAUUCAAGGGAGUGGGAUCUUCCAGCCUUAAAAGGAAUUGAUGCUCCUACAAGAACUCAACUUGCUUGCUGCUCACAGCUACCGACAUCACUUUGUUGUUGUUGA
rnacentral:lncRNA from 12 species